rnacentral:miRNA from 1 species
UCUCACAUCCCUUGCAUGGUGGAGGGUGAGGUCUCUGAAAACCCCUCCCACAUGCAGGGUUUGCAGGA